rnacentral:rRNA from 1 species
AUUGAACGCUGGCGGCAUGCCUUACACAUGCAAGUCGAACGGCAGCACGGGGGCAACCCUGGUGGCGAGUGGCGAACGGGUGAGUAAUGCAUCGGAACGUGUCCUCUUGUGGGGGAUAACCAGUCGAAAGAUUGGCUAAUACCGCAUGAGAUCGAGAGAUGAAAGCGGGGGACCCGAGGGUAACUUCGGGCCUCGCGCGAGAGGAGCGGCCGAUGCCGGAUUAGCUAGUUGGUGGGGUAAGAGCCUACCAAGGCGACGAUCCGUAGCUGGUCUGAGAGGACGACCAGCCACACUGGGACUGAGACACGGCCCAGACUCCUACGGGAGGCAGCAGUGGGGAAUUUUGGACAAUGGGGAAACCCUGAUCCAGCCAUGCCGCGUGAGUG